CGUAUGCAACGCUACGGGUGCACCACGAUCGCGUCACGAGCACCAGUUGCGUUCGCCACCCUCACUUUCCUCGCUAUUACAAACUUUUCUCCACCUCUGUUGUUAUCGCCCGGCCCGCUGGAACCACCGCUACCAUAUUAUCCGUUACACCGCUAGUGUCUCGCAACCAUUGCUCGUUGUCUUGCCCGCUGCCAUUGUUCUUCCUUCCGUUGUCAUCGUUGUUACUGUUGCUACCACCACCACCCACCAUCGCGUCGCCACCACCUCUACCACCACUGGCACCACUCUACCGCGUUACAGCCUCUUUCAACGUUAGCGUUCUUUUUUCUUGUAAUUACACGAGCAAAGAAAGAUAUUACUCGAAGGGAGAGCACCCUGUAUUCGUAUUAACCGAAGGGUAUGCGUACCGUUCAGAACAGAGAAGGUUGUUUACACAUGUCUAUGGGUGUCUUAUUACGCCGCACCAUCGUCGCGGUAGUCGUUGCGUUUCCUUUGAAAAGUUCGACACGGAUAGUUUAGAAGCUACUAGGUACCUACUGUUCCAUUUCGAGAUUACCCUCUACCUUCCGGUGAUUGCAUAGUUCGACCUUCGAUUCCUCCAUUUCACCGUUUUCUCCUUCCCCAGCUGCGUCGCCGCCACCACUACCACCACCUUCGUCGUUACCACCACUUCCGUCACCUCCACCAUUUCCACCACCAUCACCACCUCCGCUACUACCACCUCCAGCUUCAUCUCCACCUCCAUUUCCUCCUCCUGCCGAUUUUCCCUCUCCUAUUCUAUCGCAUUCUCCACCUCUUCCUGUUCCUUCUGCGCGGUUCGCGCAUACCCUUACUACGAGCGGCUGGCUGUCAUGCGUCGACGGUGCUUCUGAUAAGGCGCGACCGUAUCGGACCGUUCUUGUCGAUAAUCCGUGAUCGACUCGUCAACGUUCUGUUUGCUCACGGUUUGCGUCGACUCUUUCGUAUCAAACCGCUUGAUUUCAGUGAUUUUACGGUGAGACCGUGAAAUUUUUCACCAGGAAAAUUCUCCGAUAGUUUCUGCUAAUCGACUGGUUCGCGGGACAAGCAGCGUAGAAAUUUACUCUACGAGCGUUGCCCGAUCGAUUCGCAACGUCGAUGCUCUAUUUAUCGUUUCGUGCAACGCUUUCGUCCGAUCGUUCAUCGUACGUAUCUCAAAUUUCGACCAACGAUCGAGUGUGUCGCUGUCACAGCGAUAGGAAGAAUCGGAAAACUAAGACGGAGAAAAGGUGGUUUGAGAAGGAAGCAAGGGAAAAUCGAAAAGUGAGAAGACACCCCUGGG
rnacentral:misc_RNA from 1 species